rnacentral:rRNA from 1 species
UGCCAGUGAUAAACUGGAGGAAGGUGGGGAUGACGUCAAGUCAUCAUGGCCCUUACGACCAGGGCUACACACGUGCUACAAUGGCGCAUACAAAGAGAAGCGACCUCGCGAGAGCAAGCGGACCUCAUAAAGUGCGUCGUAGUCCGGAUUGGAGUCUGCAACUCGACUCCAUGAAGUCGGAAUCGCUAGUAAUCGUGGAUCAGAAUGCCACGGUGAAUACGUUCCCGGGCCUUGUACACACCGCCCGUCACACCAUGGGAGUGGGUUGCAAAAGAAGUAGGUAGCUUAACCUUCGGGAGGGCGCUUACCACUUUGUGAUUCAUGACUGGGGUGAAGUCGUAACAAGGUAACCGUAGGGGAACCUGCGGUUGGAUCACCUCCUU